GCCACACAAGUUUCUCGAACUGAUCAUCAUAAGCUAGAGGAAUAUCGCCAGUUAACGAUGCCAAGGCCUUUGAGCGCCUAGAGACUGUAGCCGUAGCGUAAUCCGCGAGAUCUUUACGAAGGUACUUGGCGAGAGCACGGUGGCAAGCCUUCUCCGUGAGACUUCGUUUCUUGGAGCUGCUGUUACCGACUCCAGAGGCGUGCUGAAGGAUGUCGAUGUAGAGACCAACCUUCUGCUUGGGGCAGUAAGGACAGAGGAAAGUGCGGUAGGAGACUCUGACCUCGAGCUUUCCGCUCUUGAGCUUUUUGUACAGAUUGUUUUCAUAAUCUGUCAUAUUGUUGCUCUUCAUCACCAUCUUGUUGUUGUUGCAUUAUUGUUUAUGCAUCAAAGGAACUGCAUAAAGGGAGCACAUUGUUAAAAAAAAAAGUUACAUAGUUGGAUCAAGUUUAAACCUUUUUCAUGAUAAAAUGUUACAGCGUUACAACAGAACACAGUCCUACAGUUAAUUGUUUCAUUGUCUCUCUAAGUUCUAUGAAAAACAGCAUGCAUGUUUUGGUUUUCUGGAGAAAUGAUGAAACAUUGGGAUCUAGAGUUCAUCGAAUUGUGAAACCCUAAAAGUCAAAGGAAAAACGUCGGCAUCAAUCAAUCAAUCAAUUAACACAGAAGAGAAUUGGGGGAAGAAAAGAUGAAUGUCAAAUCAAUCAAUGAAGACGUAAGAUCGUUACCUGAUAAAGAGAGAUUGCUCUCUCUCGAGAGACUUCAGCAGAUUCUGGAGAUCACAAGAACUUUGUUCUGAUUCAUUUCAACCUUUCUUUUUUUUUGGUUUUUCUGAGUUCUUGUUUUUUCUUUUUUUUUUUGGACAAAUUAUUUUUUGGACAAAAUGAGUUCUUGUUUCAUUUCGAGGUUGAGGCAGUAAACCUCUGUUUUUAUUUCACGCGCUGUUGUCGCGCGUGCUAUAUUGUUACAGGGACAGGAAAGUGAAUCUUUUUAAAACAGUCUUUUUUUUUUAACUAGGUUGCUAAUAAUUUGCCGUUCAAAAAAAAAAAAAAUAGGUUGCUAAAACAUCUGUUUCGAGUGGUAUUGUGGUAACUUGUUCUUUUUUUUAUAAACUCGGCUGAUCCGAUCGGCUCCGGAAGAAACGCAUUUAGUGUUACAGAGUGGACUAGCCCGAAAGCAUAUCACAUUGUCUGAUUUGAGUUUGUAAUACUUUCCGACUAAUGCCAUAAGUGGACCAAUCAUCUGUUAUGGUUCACCAUGUAAACAAUUUGGGUCGAAACUUAGACUCAAACUAGCUAAAGUAAUGAUAAUUUAGUUCUCUAAGGAUAGUUUUCAAAUUUGUAGUGUAUAAUAUUGUUCCCGUGAUACUGAAGACCUUUUUUGUUAGACUUUCAUUGGUUAGUUUGAUUUGGAGUGGUGGCAAAAUCUAUUUAUUUAUUUUUGUAAGUCUAAAACUUGCUUUCUUGAUUUAGGGUUCCAUUUGGAUGAUUCAGACGUUUCUUUGAAUGUCUGCUUGGGUAAACAAUUUUCUGGCGGGGAGCUGUGAGGUGUGAGAUGUGAUAAACCAUGUGAAUUCUGAAAGCGGUGAAAAUGUAUUUACUCAUGUUGUCUCAACCCACAAGAAUUUAUUCUUUUUGGUAAUCACCACAAGAAUGUUUCUCCAUGAUUAUAAUGCGAAAAGAAUCUGACGGUUGGUAGAUGCAACUCUUCUAAAGGUUUAAAGAGGAAUCGUAGGUUUUUUCCUUUUCUAUAUUUUAGUUGAAACCUUGUUAUAACAACAUUCUUCUAAUCGGUUAAAUUCGGUUUUAGAGACGCCUAUCCGGAUAUGAGGCUCACACUGGACAUAAACUAUUUUGUUAUGUUCAACACUUUAAGGUUACAAUUUUUUAGAUAAAAAGCAAGUAAAUGGAUUAAGUUAUCGUAAAUAUAUGAUAAUUUGCGAAGUUAUCGUACAAUUAGCAUAAUCAAGACAUAGAAAAUGAUAUAAUAUCACAAAAUAACUAGUCGUCAAAAUACGAUGCUUCAAUUCUAUUAGUUUAUAAUUGGCCAGCACAAAUUUAAGUGAUACGAGCCUAGAUAAGUAUAAGAUAAAUGCAUGGCUAUCAAUCACGUUUCUGGUAACAAAUCAAACCGCAUGGAUUUUGCAUUGGACAAUAAAAACCAAUUCAAUAACUUCCUCCUCACUUCCUAUUGAAUCGCUCUUUAGAACAAGUCAAUUGCUUGUUUUGUUCAUAUUAAAAAAUUGUUUGUAAACUAAAAAUAGAAUCAGCAUUCUCCCUUAGAUAUAGGAAUCAAUUCCCACCGUCUAUAUUCUCAUAUUUUGUUUGACUCAUUCACUAAAUCUUAAAUAACAAAAAAAAGAAAAAAAUUUCUCUAUAAAAGGAAUUGUGUUAGAUUUUCCUGAUCAUAAUUCACCAACUACUAAUUAAUCAGACAUGAAGAUCAUGCCGUUGAUGUCCAUCGUCUUCUUCAUACUCUUGAUAUCAUUUCUGGAUCCGAUCAAAGCUCAAGGUAUCGUUGGCUGCGACACUCAACUCGAUAAAUGCAUAACCGCGAUGAAUAAAAAUGAAUGGAGUCUCGUGCAAAAAGACUGUUGUCCCAGACUGAGAAAGACAGGCCCUCAACAAUGUAUGUGUUUGUUAUUUAAGUACCCUUCGCUUAAAGCACCUGCUAUGAGGCUUAUCAAAUAUUGUCAAGCUCCAACUCCCAAGUGCUAAGAGAUUAAUAUACAAUACAUUAACAACAUUGUUUCGACCGAGCUCGUGGACUAGUUGUGUUGUCAAAAGCAAUACACAUAAGGAUGUGGAUCUUGAAGCUAUAUGGUAAAAGCUCACCUUGAUUGUAACCAUGGAGAAUCUUAUCUUUUUCUUCAGUCUCACACUUAAGUGCAAUAGAAGUCUUUGAGAAUUUUUCCUCUAGCAUCCUCAACUGACUCUGUAUGUUCUCAGAGAUUAAGUUCAGACGCUGCACAAGCUUAUGAUCUUUCCUAGCCUCUUCUUCUGCAAACCUAGAAAUACUUUUGAGGUCACCCAUCUUCCGCAAGUACUCUCCUACAUAGUUAGCCCUAUAAUAAUCAUCAGCAUUGGCAAGCCAUGCGUAAAGACUCGAGUCAGCAGCACCACCACCACUACUCAGCCAAUCUUUUUUACCAUGGCCAUCUUCUUGAUAAGCCUUCUUGAACAGCAAAGCAUCGUUAAGUCCAUUCCAGUCUCUGUUAAACUCAACUAUCCCAGUUCCUGAAUGGCCGAAACAGUCCCACACGGUACGUACUCUAAUAGGGUUGAAUCCUCUUCUGAUCAGUUCAUCCUUAAGCUGUGGUCCACUCUCCCCAGUACAACACAGACCAUCAUGUCCCAUCUUUGUUGGUAUAUUAACCAAAAUACCUUAACCCCAACACACAGAUACAACUUCUAUUAGUAAUAUGCUAACAUGAAUGCCUUAGAGAUGAGGGCCUUACCUUUCCAAGGCCACACAAGUUUCUCGAACUGAUCAUCAUAAGCUAGAGGAAUAUCGCCAGUUAACGAUGCCAAGGCCUUUGAGCGCCUAGAGACUGUAGCCGUAGCGUAAUCCGCGAGAUCUUUACGAAGGUACUUGGCGAGAGCACGGUGGCAAGCCUUCUCCGUGAGACUUCGUUUCUUGGAGCUGCUGUUACCGACUCCAGAGGCGUGCUGAAGGAUGUCGAUGUAGAGACCAACCUUCUGCUUGGGGCAGU
rnacentral:lncRNA from 1 species